rnacentral:rRNA from 1 species
AUUCCAGCUCCAAUAGCGUAUACUAAAGUUGUUGCAGUUAAAAAGCUCGUAGUUGAAUUUCUGGUCGUGAAAAGUGGUCCGUUCCGCAAGGAAUGUGUACUGUCUAUUCAUGUCCAUCCUCGGAGUUAGUGUGUAUUACUUUAAUCGGUCGUGCAUGCAAUACUUCGUCAUUUACUGUGAGCAAAAUAGAGUGUUCAAAGCAGGCUUAUGCCGUUGAAUAUAUUAGCAUGGAAUAAUAAGAUAUGACUUUGGUCUAUUUUGUUGGUUUGCACUCCAAAGUAAUGAUUAAUAGGGAUAGUUGGGGGUAUUCGUAUUCAAUUGUCAGAGGUGAAAUUCUUGGAUUUAUGGAAGACGAACUACUGCGAAAGCAUUUACCAAGGAUGUUUUCAUUA